rnacentral:rRNA from 1 species
CAUGCAAGUCGAACGAGAGAGAAGGAGCUUGCUUCUUCGAUCGAGUGGCGAACGGGUGAGUAACGCGUGAGGAACCUGCCUCAAAGAGGGGGACAACAGUUGGAAACGACUGCUAAUACCGCAUAAGCCCACGGGUCGGCAUCGACCUGAGGGAAAAGGAGCAAUCCGCUUUGAGAUGGCCUCGCGUCCGAUUAGCUAGUUGGUGAGGUAACGGCCCACCAAGGCGACGAUCGGUAGCCGGACUGAGAGGUUGAACGGCCACAUUGGGACUGAGACACGGCCCAGACUCCUACGGGAGGCAGCAGUGGGGAAUAUUGCACAAUGGGGGAAACCCUGAUGCAGCGACGCCGCGUGGAGGAAGAAGGUCUUCGGAUUGUAAACUCCUGUUGUUGAGGAAGAUAAUGACGGUACUCAACAAGGAAGUGACGGCUAACUACGUGCCAGCAGCCGCGGUAAAACGUAGGUCACAAGCGUUGUCCGGAAUUACUGGGUGUAAAGGGAGCGCAGGCGGGAAGACAAGUUGGAAGUGAAAUCUAUGGGCUCAACCCAUAAACUGCUUUCAAAACUGUUUUUCUUGAGUAGUGCAGAGGUAGGCGGAAUUCCCGGUGUAGCGGUGGAAUGCGUAGAUAUCGGGAGGAACACCAGUGGCGAAGGCGGCCUACUGGGCACCAACUGACGCUGAGGCUCGAAAGUGUGGGUAGCAAACAGGAUUAGAUACCCUGGUAGUCCACACCGUAGACGAUGAUUACUAGGUGUUGGAGGAUUGACCCCUUCAGUGCCGCAGUUAACACAAUAAGUAAUCCACCUGGGGAGUACGACCGCAAGG